rnacentral:rRNA from 1 species
GACGAACGCUGGCGGCGUGCUUAACACAUGCAAGUCGAACGGAAAGGCCCUGCCUUUGUGGGGUGCUCGAGUGGCGAACGGGUGAGUAACACGUGAGUAACCUGCCCUUGACUUUGGGAUAACUUCAGGAAACUGGGGCUAAUACCAGAUAGGAGCUCCUGCUGCAUGGUGGGGGUUGGAAAGUUUCGGCGGUUGGGGAUGGACUCGCGGCUUAUCAGCUUGUUGGUGGGGUAGUGGCUUACCAAGGCUUUGACGGGUAGCCGGCCUGAGAGGGUGACCGGCCACAUUGGGACUGAGAUACGGCCCAGACUCCUACGGGAGGCAGCAGUGGGGAAUAUUGCACAAUGGGCGGAAGCCUGAUGCAGCAACGCCGCGUGCGGGAUGACGGCCUUCGGGUUGUAAACCGCUUUCGCCUGUGACGAAGCGUGAGUGACGGUAAUGGGUAAAGAAGCACCGGCUAACUACGUG